UCAGGCCUAACACAUGCAAGUCGAGCGCACCUUUUCGGAGGUGAGCGGCGCACGGGUGGUAACGCGUGGGAACCUACCCUGGGGUAGGGGAUAACCGCUGGAAACGGCGGCUAAUACCCUAUACGUCCUUCGGGAGAAAGAUUUAUCGCCCUGGGAUGGGCCCGCGUCGGAUUAGCUAGUUGGUGGGGUAAAGGCUCACCAAGGCGACGAUCCGUAGCUGGUCUGAGAGGAUGAUCAGCCACACUGGGACUGAGACACGGCCCAGACUCCUACGGGAGGCAGCAGUGGGGAAUAUUGGACAAUGGGCGCAAGCCUGAUCCAGCCAUGCCGCGUGAGUGAAGAAGGCCUUAGGGUUGUAAAGCUCUUUCACCCGCGAAGAUGANGACNGUNGCGNANA
rnacentral:rRNA from 1 species